CCUACGGGGUGCAGCAGUCGAGAAUCAUUCACAAUGGGGGAAACCCUGAUGGUGCGACGCCGCGUGGGGGAAUGAAGGUCUUCGGAUUGUAAACCCCUGUCAUGUGGGAGCAAAUUAAAAAGAUAGUACCACAAGAGGAAGAGACGGCUAACUCUGUGCCAGCAGCCGCGGUAAUCCAGAGGUCUCAAGCGUUGUUCGGAAUCACUGGGCGUAAAGCGUGCGUAGGCUGUUUCGUAAGUCGUGUGUGAAAGGCGCGGGCUCAACCCGCGGACGGCACAUGAUACUGCGAGACUAGAGUAAUGGAGGGGGAACCGGAAUUCGCGGUGUAGCAGUGAAAUGCGUAGAUAUCGAGAGGAACACUCGUGGCGAAGGCGGGUUCCUGGACAUUAACUGACGCUGAGGCACGAAGGCCAGGGGAGCGAAAGGGAUUAGAUACCCCUGUAGUC
rnacentral:rRNA from 1 species